CACCUUCGAAGGCUAAGUACUCCUGACUGACCGAUAGUGAACCAGUACCGUGAGGGAAAGGUGAAAAGCACCCCGACGAGGGGAGUGAAACAGUUUCUGAAACCGGACGCCUACAAUCAGUCGGAGGCUCCUUGAGAGCUGACGGCGUACCUUUUGUAUAAUGGGUCAUCGACUUGGUCUAUCUAGCAAGCUUAAGCCGUUAGGUGUAGGCGCAGCGAAAGCGAGUCUUAAUAGGGCGAAUGAGUUAGAUGGAUCAGACCCGAAACCGAGUGAUCUAGGCAUGACCAGGAUGAAGGUAAGGUAACACUUACUGGAGGUCCGAACCCACACCUGUUGAAAAAGGUCGGGAUGAGUUGUGCCUAGGGGUGAAAGGCCAAUCAAACUCGGAGAUAGCUGGUUCUCCGCGAAAUCUAUUUAGGUAGAGCGUCAUCCGAAUACCCCGGGGGGUAGAGCACUGGAUGGGUAAUGGGGCCCCACAGGCUUACUGAUCCUAACCAAACUCCGAAUACCCGGGAGUACUAGAUGGCAGACACACGGCGGAUGCUAACGUCCGUCGUGGAGAGGGAAACAACCCUGACCGACAGUUAAGGCCCCCAAUUCAUGGCUAAGUGGGAAAGCAGGUGGGACGACCAAAACAACCAGGAGGUUGGCUUAGAAGCAGCCAUCCUUUAAAGAUAGCGUAACAGCUCACUGGUCUAAAUAAGUUGUCCUGCGGCGAAGAUGUAACGGGGCUCAAGCCAUGAGCCGAAACUUCGGAUGCAUUUAAUGCAUGGUAGCGGAGCGUAGUGUGACAUAGUUUCCUGUCUCUUUUGAUCCCUUUGGGGUCAUGGGAGACGCGAAGCUUUCUGUGAAGCCGGGCUGUAAGGCAUCCGGUGGAGAGAUCACUAGUGAGAAUGAUGACAUGAGUAGCGACAAAGAGUGUGAGAGACACUCUCGCCGAAAGUCCAAGGGUUCCUGCUUAAAGCUAAUCUGAGCAGGGUAAGCCGACCCCUAAGUCGAGGCCGAAGGGCGUAGACGAUGGGAACCAGGUUAAUAUUCCUGGGCCAGGAGAUGGUGACGGAUUGUGAAGGUUGUUCCUCCUUAUUGGAUUGGAGGGGCCGCUGAUCAGUCCCUGGAAAUAGCCCUCCAUAAGAUCGUACCCUAAACCGACACAGGUGGACUGGUAGAGAAUACCAAGGCGCUUGAGAGAACUAUCUUGAAGGAACUCGGCAAAAUACCUCCGUAAGUUCGCGAGAAGGAGGCCCAGUGUUUACGCAAGUAGAUACUGGGGGCACAAACUAGGGGGUGGCGACUGUUUACUAAAAACACAGGGCUCUGCGAAGUCGCAAGACGACGUAUAGGGUCUGACGCCUGCCCGGUGCCUGAAGGUUAAAAGGAGGGGUGAGAGCUCCGAAUUGAAGCCCAGGUAAACGGCGGCCGUAACUAUAACGGUCCUAAGGUAGCGA
rnacentral:rRNA from 1 species